GAUGAACGCUGGCGGCGUGCCUAAUACAUGCAAGUCGAGCGAACAGACGAGGAGCUUGCUCCUCUGACGUUAGCGGCGGACGGGUGAGUAACACGUGGAUAACCUACCUAUAAGACUGGGAUAACUUCAGGAAACCGGAGCUAAUACCGGAUAACAUGUUGAACCGCAUGGUUUAACAGUGAAAGACGGUCUUGCUGUCACUUAUAGAUGGAUCCGCGCCGCAUUAGCUAGUUGGUAAGGUAACGGCUUACCAAGGCAACGAUGCGUAGCCGACCUGAGAGGGUGAUCGGCCACACUGGAACUGAGACACGGUCCAGACUCCUACGGGAGGCAGCAGUAGGGAAUCUUCCGCAAUGGGCGAAAGCCUGACGGAGCAACGCCGCGUGAGUGAAGAAGGUCUUCGGAUCGUAAAACUCUGUUAUUAGGGAAGAACAAAUGUGUAAGUAACUAUGCACGUCUUGACGGUACCUAAUCAGAAAGCCACGGCUAACUACGUG
rnacentral:rRNA from 1 species